UUAUGUUUAAUGACCUUAGGUCGGACUCGCUCGGAUUAUACACUUCCUUACGAGUUGUUAACGAGCAUCCCCAAUUUCAGGCGGACUCGUAAGCCCACCGCGAGAGAGUCACUCGUCCAAGAACCGCCCAACAUCGCUCGUCCUGCUUGUCCUCAUCGUCGUCCACGAAAAGACUUGGACUGGAGUGUGAGCUUGUAAAGACAAGGAAGAAGAAGAUGACGUUGGGUCUGAUCAAUACCAACCACGUGGUCCACGCUAAGAAUGAAAGGGUUGCUCACACCGAAGAUCUCCACGCUGACGACGUCGUCGAUCCUCUCGAUAUCUAUGAUAUCCUUUCCCAAUCCAUCUCUUACCGCCUUUCUUUUCUUUCUUUUUAAAAUUUAAUUAUGUGAAAUUUUGCUGAAAUUUGCCAUCUUUGACUGGAAAUUGCAAAUUUCGUGAGGGAUAUUAGAGAUCCGGAGCACCCCUACUCGUUAGAGCAGCUUAGCGUGCUUUCGGAAGAGUCGAUUACAGUGGAUGACAAGCUCGGCCAUAUUCUGUGAGUAUCAUUUCUCAAUUUUGAGCUUCAAUUUUGCAUUUUUCUGGAUAACUUUUACGCCGACAAUUCAGCAUUGCAGUAUGGCAACAGUGAUAGGUAUGUGCCUGAGAGUUAAACUGAAACAUUGCUUCCUCCUUAGUACAAGGUCCGUCAGUUUGCUAUGUUAGAGAUUUUGGUGCAAAAAUAUGUUCCAAUUAACCCAGAUCAUGAGAUUUGUAGCAUUACUAUAUUACACAAUGGCAAAAAAUUUAGGGCGUUGGGCACA